GGAGGGAAGUUUCGAAACGGAUUGCAUCAGUUAAAUCCGGAGUGAAACGUCGCUGGAGAAAGUCAAAAUAUACGUUCAAAGCAAAUGUAAUGAACAGGAAGCUAAAAUAUUAUAUAAAACAGUGUUUCCCAGAGCCGGGUUUAGGUUUGACGAGGCCCUAAGCUACUAAAGACAGAGGAGCUAUAUGAGAUUUAUCUACUUGCCUGAAAGUUGACUGCGAUUAUGAGAGAGGACGCCGCUGUGACAGCGAAGGACUGGUAAUCUGAGGGCGCUUCUCCAUCUUGCCCCAUGGUUUGUAGAAUAGCCAUUGAAGAAGGAGUACCAAAAGUGGACUAACGUAAAUGCAAAGUUUUUGUAGAAGAAGUACCGAAGGAACUU